rnacentral:rRNA from 1 species
UACGGAGGGUGCAAGCGUUAUCCGGAUUCACUGGGUUUAAAGGGUGCGUAGGUGGGCUGGUAAGUCAGUGGUGAAAUCUCCAGGCUUAACUUGGAAACUGCCAUUGAUACUAUUAGUCUUGAAUACCGUGGAGGUCAGCGGAGUAUGUCAUGUAGCGGUGAAAUGCUUAGAUAUGACAUAGAACACCAAUUGCGAAGGCAGCUGGCUACACGAAUAUUGACACUGAUGCACGAAAGCGUGGGGAUCAAACAGG